GACGAACGCUGGCGGCGUGCUUAACACAUGCAAGUCGAGCGGUAAGGCCCUUUCGGGGGUACACGAGCGGCGAACGGGUGAGUAACACGUGGGUGACCUGCCCUCAGCUCUGGGAUAAGCCUGGGAAACCGGGUCUAAUACUGGAUAUGACUCCAUGACGCAUGUUGUGGGGUGGAAAGCCUUGUGCGGCUGGGGAUGGGCCCGCGGCCUAUCAGCUUGUUGGUGGGGUGAUGGCCUACCAAGGCGACGACGGGUAGCCGGCCUGAGAGGGCGACCGGCCACACUGGGACUGGGACACGGCCCAGACUCCUACGGGAGGCAGCAGUGGGGAAUCUUGCGCAAUGGGCGAAAGCCUGACGCAGCGACGCCGCGUGAGGGAUGACGGCCU
rnacentral:rRNA from 1 species